rnacentral:rRNA from 1 species
UACGUAGGGUGCAAGCGUUGUCCGGAAUUAUUGGGCGUAAAGAGCUUGUAGGUGGUUUGUCGCGUCUGCUGUGAAAAUCCGAGGCUCAACCUCGGACUUGCAGUGGGUACGGGCAGACUAGAGUGUGGUAGGGGAGACUGGAAUUCCUGGUGUAGCGGUGAAAUGCGUAGAGAUCCGGAGGAACACCAAAGGCGAAGGCAGUGUCCUGGGGAGUACCUGACGCUCAGGUGCGAAAGCCAGGGGAGCGAACGGG